rnacentral:lncRNA from 1 species
UUAACCCAUCCUCAAACCCAAAACCUAAAAUUAACCUAGCCCAACAUCCAAGCCCAAUCCCAAAACCCUAAACUCCCACUUGCCUCUUCCCACUCUCCCAUGCUGUCUGCCACCAGCACCACUCCCACUCUCCCAUGCUGUCUGCCACCAGCACCAUCACACACCCCCAUACCGUCUACCACCACCAUGCCUUUGCCGCACCUGCAAACAAGCAAAGGAAAAGGACAAAAAAUGGAGCAAUAAACAUUAACA